rnacentral:lncRNA from 1 species
GUAACGGUGAUGUGAUAACUAAUUCGGUCUAUGAUAUUUGACUUUGAGUAAAUUGUGAUAAAGUGUUCAUGCAUGCCAAGGUGGUGGAUGUUUUAACUGUAGAAGAGGAGAGACAGUACUGAAGGUAUGUUCUGUUGCAUCAUAUUGUCCAUUAAAAAAGUGUUUUGUUUUUUUCAUAGAAUCCUCUGUUGUUAAAAGAAUAGCUCACCCUAAAAAUUUUCCAAUUCAUAUAAUUUUAUUUUGUGAAUAGAGCAAAACAGGUGUUUUUUUACAAAUAAAAAAAAAAAAAAAAUAGAAAGUUAGUUUAUUUUGUAGUAAUAAGAGACAAAACAGGUUUAGUUUUUACUAUUAAAAAAAAAAAAAAAAAAUUAAGGAUAGUCCUUUCUAAUGACAUUUAUUUAUUUUUUUUUGUACAAUUUUAUAUUUCAUUUCUGGUCGCAUAUAGUCAAACACGACCGUUUAUGUGACCCUCAUUAUGUAUAUGUGAUUUCAAACUUGAACAUUUAAAAAUUAAAGAAAAAUACAGGACUUGCACAGCAUUAGGAUGAAUUGUUAUUUUUAGGUGCACAGUUCCUUUAAGUUAAACGUAUAUUUUAUGUAUUUACCAAUUUCCUCGCUCAUAUUAACCAGUACCAUUAAUCAUUUUGGUCAUUAUUAAGUGCAUUAAAUAUUCAUAAAAUAUUGUUCACUUGCUUGUAGGAGUUGUCACUAUUAAUAUUGUGGAUAUCAAUGACAACACCCCAGAGUUUGUUGUCUUGCAGGACUUCUAUGUUGUAGUCAUUGAGAAAGUUGAGGUGGGCACAUCUGUUGGCAGAGUUUAUGUAAGUGUGAUAUUUCACUUAUUGACACUUCACUUAUGUCACUUUUUGUGCUGUAAUAUACACUUAUCCACUGUUAUGUUAUAUUUUAUGUUACAAUAUAAUGUCUUUGAGUCUCCAUAAAGUAUUUUCCCAGGGUUUGUUUCCUCUCACACCUUUAAGGCCAUAGACAGAGACACAGGAGAGAACAGGAAAACCAAAUUUGAAGUUAUCAAGGUGGACUUUGUUAGCAGUGAAGUGAAUUCCACAGAGAGUUUGUUUCUCUACGCCGACUCUGCCAAUCAGGAAGAUGCUGAUGGAAGGUUCACUGCACAUAUACGGUGAGAAAUUAAAGUUUCUAACCUGUUUGUAAAUUAUGAAUAGGCAUAAUGUUCAAUGUGCAUCAGUCAAAAUGUUGAUGUGGCUGGUUACACAAAAAAGGAACUAAACUGGAAGUAAACAAGCAAAUGUCUCUUCAUAU